AACGAACGCUGGCGGCAGGCCUAACACAUGCAAGUCGAACGCUCUAGCAAUAGAGGGUGGCAGACGGGUGAGUAACGCGUGGGAAACUUCCUAGGGGUACGGAAUAGCUCAGGGAAACUUGGGGUAAUACCGUAUGAUGCCGUAAGGCCAAAGAUUUAUCGCCCUUAGAUGUGCCCGCGUCGGAUUAGCUAGUUGGUGAGGUAACGGCUCACCAAGGCGACGAUCCGUAGCUGGUUUGAGAGAAUGACCAGCCACACUGGGACUGAGACACGGCCCAGACUCCUACGGGAGGCAGCAGUGGGGAAUCUUGGACAAUGGGCGCAAGCCUGAUCCAGCCAUGCCGCGUGAGUGACGAAAGCCUUAGGGUUGUAAAGCUCUUUUGCCGGGGACGAUAAUGACGGUACCCGGAGAAUAAGUCCCGGCUAACUUCGUGCCAGCAGCCGCAGUAA
rnacentral:rRNA from 1 species